UACGAAGGGGGCAAGCGUUGUUCGGAAUUACUGGGCGUAAAGGGCGCGUAGGCGGCUUACCAAGUCAGGCGUGAAAUUCCCGAGCUCAACCUGGGGGCUGCGCUUGAUACUGGUGAGCUUGAAUGCGGGAGAGGAUAGUGGAAUUCCCAGUGUAGAGGUGAAAUUCGUAGAUAUUGGGAAGAACACCGGUGGCGAAGGCGGCUAUCUGGCCCGUAAUUGACGCUGAGGCGCGAAAGCGUGGGGAGCAAACAGG
rnacentral:rRNA from 1 species